UCGACAUUGUCGCCGGUAAUCAUCAUUUUUUCUACUCCCACAGCUUUCGCUCGAGAAAUUAUGGAAUCAAAAUCAUCAGGAUGUUUUAGUUUUUCAUGAUAAAUACCUCGAAAAACAGGAUCUGUUGCGUUGUAUCCAAUGUCAUAAAAUCGCAAACUGCAGCUCAUAUCGUAAGUCUACAUUAUCUUUCUUUAUACCGAAACUACUUACCUUUUUACAAAUGCUUGCCUAAUUGAUGCCAUAGGUAGAGAUCUUUUUUUUUUGUUUUUUUCCUCUAGAGGUUUAAAAUGUGAGAGUUGAGCUUAAACUGCAUUCAUAUAUACUGCUGGGUUAGACAUGUAGGAAAUCAAAAAAAUAUUUAGUUUCUUAUCAGUUU